rnacentral:sRNA from 1 species
AUGCGCCACUCGCACACGCGGUUCUGAGCGUACCGCCCGCACCCGCCUGGCGACUGCUCGCUACCUGUUGUCAGCG